UACGGAGGGUGCGAGCGUUAUCCGGAUUUACUGGGUUUAAAGGGUGCGUAGGCGGGGCAGUAAGUCAGUGGUGAAAUCCUUGAGCUCAACUCAAGCACUGCCAAUGAUACUAUUGCCCUUGAAUAUGGCGGAGGUAAACGGAAUAUGUCAUGUAGCGGUGAAAUGCUUAGAUAUGACAUAGAACACCGAUUGCGAAGGCAGUUUACUACACCUAUAUUGACGCUGAGGCACGAAAGCGUGGGGAUCAAACAGG
rnacentral:rRNA from 1 species